AAUAGAUACCCAGGUAGUCCACGCCGUAAACGAUGAGUGCUAAGUGUUAGAGGGUUUCCGCCCUUUAGUGCUGCAGCAAACGCAUUAAGCACUCCGCCUGGGGAGUACGGUCGCAAGACUGAAACUCAAAGGAAUUGACGGGGGCCCGCACAAGCGGUGGAGCAUGUGGUUUAAUUCGAAGCAACGCGAAGAACCUUACCAGGUCUUGACAUCCUUAUGACUUCUCUAGAGAUAGAGCUUUCCCUUCGGGGACAUAAGUGACAGGUGAUGCAUGGUUGUCGUCAGCUCGUGUCGUGAGAUGUUGGGUUAAGUCCCGCAACGAGCGCAACCCUUGAUCUUAGUUGCCAGCAUUCAGUUGGGCACUCUAAGGUGACUGCCGGUGACAAACCGGAGGAAGGUGGGGAUGACGUCAAAUCAUCAUGCCCCUUAUGACCUGGGCUACACACGUGCUACAAUGGAUGGUACAAAGGGUAGCGAGACCGCGAGGUUUAGCCAAUCCCAUAAAACCAUUCUCAGUUCGGAUUGCG
rnacentral:rRNA from 1 species